rnacentral:rRNA from 1 species
CGGACACGCUGGCGGCGUGCCUAACACAUGCAAGUCGAGCGGACCUUAGUCCAACACUAAGCGCUCAAGGGAUUGAGUGUUUAGUGUUGGACGAAAGGUUAGCGGCGGACGGGUGAGUAACGCGUGAGCAACCUACCUUCCAGUGGGGGAUAACGUCCCGAAAGGGACGCUAAUACCGCAUAACGUAUAGUUUUCGCAUGGGAGCUAUACCAAAGAUUUAUCGCUGGAAGAUGGGCUCGCGUCUGAUUAGCUAGUUGGUGAGGUAACGGCUCACCAAGGCGACGAUCAGUAGCCGAACUGAGAGGUUGGUCGGCCACAUUGGGACUGAGACACGGCCCAGACUCCUACGGGAGGCAGCAGUGGGGGAUAUUGCGCAAUGGGGGAAACCCUGACGCAGCAACGCCGCGUGAAGAAAGAAGGCCUUCGGGUCGUAAACUUUUGUCCUCAGGGAAGAAGAACUGACGGUACCUGAGGAGGAAGCCACGGCUAACUACGUG